rnacentral:rRNA from 1 species
AACGAACGCUGGCGGCGCGCCUAAUACAUGCAAGUCGAGCGAGAAGACGUAGCAAUACGUUUGUAAAGCGGCGAACGGGUGAGGAAUACAUGGGUAACCUACCCUCGAGUGGGGAAUAACUAGCCGAAAGGUUAGCUAAUACCGCGUACGCUCCUUGGACUUCGGUUCAGGGAGGAAAGCGAUACCGUGGGUAUCGCGCUCUUGGAUGGGCUCAUGUCCUAUCAGCUUGUUGGUGAGGAACGGCUCACCAAGGCUUCGACGGGUAGCUGGUCUGAGAGGACGAUCAGCCACACUGGCACUGCGACACGGGCCAGACUCCUACGGGAGCAGCAGUAAGGAAUAUUGCGCAAUGGGCGAAAGCCUGACGCAGCGACGCCGCGUGGGGGAUGAAGGUCUUC